rnacentral:misc_RNA from 1 species
AACGCACAUUGCGCCCUUUGGUAUUCCGAGGGGCAUGCCUGUUCGAGCGUCAUUUCAACCCUCAAGCUUCUGCUUGGUAUUGGGCUUUCGUCCCACUCUUUCUUUUGGGAGAGAGGACGUGCCUGAAACUCAUAGGCGGUUCUAAUCAACUCCUUUGCGUAGUUAAUUUUUCUCUCGCUCUGGAGGAUUUGGUUGUAAACCUGCCUAAGAAACUCUUUUUUAUAUAUAAAGGUUUGACCUCGGAUCAGGUAGGGAUACCCGCUGAACUUAA